rnacentral:lncRNA from 1 species
AAGAGCUUGCGGUGGCUGGGGCUGCGCUGGGGGUGCCGAAAGGUGGCCGUGUGGUGGCUGUGGAAGAGAAAAAGGCAGAAGUCACAGCUGGCCCCUGGGAACCGAAGAUGGGAUAAUGCCAGGUGUGCAUCAGAGGACCAGCUGAGACCUUUGCAAUCCUGAAAGACUUAAGUGAAGAUGGCUACUUGGUUCACAUUGCCUAAAAGAGCCCUUAAAGUCUUCUGUCUUCAGGUCUAGCUCUUGCCUGCUGUGAGGAGUCUUCCUGUGCUACUGGCAGGUUGGACCAGAGGCUCAGCAGCUCUCUGAAGCUCCAGCAACAGGCGCCACCUCCAGCAGCUGAGAAAGC